rnacentral:rRNA from 1 species
UGAGGAAUAUUGGUCAAUGGAUGAGAGUCUGAUCCAGCCAUCCCGCGUGCAGGACGACGGCCCUAUGGGUCGUAAACUGCUUUUGUAUAGGGAUAAACCUAUCCACGUGUGAUAGCUGAAUGUACUAUACGAAUAAGGAUCGGCUAACUCCGUG